rnacentral:rRNA from 1 species
UACGAAGGGGGCUAGCGUUGUUCGGAAUUACUGGGCGUAAGGCGCGCGCAGGCGGUCCUUUAAGUCGGGGGUGAAAGCCCAGAGCUCAACUCUGGAACUGCCUUCGAAACUAGAGGACUUGGGUACGGGAGAGGUGAGUGGAAUUCCGAGUGUAGAGGUGAAAUUCGUAGAUAUUCGGAAGAACACCAGUGGCGAAGGCGGCUCACUGGCCCGUUACCGACGCUCAGGCGCGACAGCGUGGGGAGCAAACAGG